CCUACGGGUGAUAGCAGUAGGGAAUAUUGCUCAAUGGGGGAAACCCUGAAGCAGCAACGCCGCGUGGAGGAUGAAGGUUUUCGGAUUGUAAACUCCUUUUGGUAGAGAAGAUAAUGACGGUAUCUAACGAAUAAGCACCGGCUAACUCCGUGCCAGCAGCCGCGGUAAUACGGAGGGUGCAAGCGUUACUCGGAAGCACUGGGCGUAAAGAGCGCGUAGGCGGGAUAGCAAGUCAGAUGUGAAAUCCUAUGGCUUAACCAUAGAACUGCAUUUGAAACUGUUAUUCUAGAGUAUGGGAGAGGUAUGUGGAAUUCUUGGUGUAGGGGUAAAAUGCGUAGAGAUCAAGAGGAAUACUCAUUGCGAAGGCGGCCUGCUAGAACAUAACUGACGUUGAUGCGCGAAAGCGUGGGGAGCAAACAGGAUUAGAUACCCGUGUAGUC
rnacentral:rRNA from 1 species